rnacentral:lncRNA from 1 species
ACUGCACUCCAAUCCUCUCUUUGGAACCUGCAACUGAAUAUUGCUCCUAAAUGGGAAGACUGUCUUGCAAGGGGACAACUGCCACAAUAUUGCCAAAAUUAGAAUCCAGAGGAGGUAACACGGUGCCAUCUCCAAGCCUGUGGCUCGAGAGGUCGGAAAAGAAGCUCUUUCUAAUUGGAAAACAGCCAGCAAAGUUGUUAAUUCCAAAAAACAAGUAUGUCUCUGGAGUUAAAAAAUUUUCUGUAAAGAGCCACAGUGGCUUUGCCAUCUCUAACACACUCCAAGAACUAGUAUCCUUGCCACACAUUCCCGAAGAGAUUAAUGUUAUAUUGGAGUCCUUAGAAACAAGAACAUACCAAUCAUAUCCUUCAAUCAGUCUCAACAAUGAAAAGCCUGAGAGACAAGAGAUCUAAGAACUUGGAGAUGGAGAGUGACAGGAAGGGACCAGCUCAAUCUCUGAGUUUCUGCUGGAGAAGGAUGACCAGGGAAACUACAGCAGACUGUGAUAUGGUACAUAUGCCCAUGGAGAUAAACAAGGUUGCAGGAUUUUGAUGCCAUUUCUGACCCUUAGAGCUACCUGCUUAGUGAUAGACACUCACAGAAAUUAAGAGCUGGGAAACAGUCAGGUAUUACACAUAAAAUCUCCGGAGAACUUUUUUCUGGAACCAGCUCUGAGACCCCAGCUGACAGUUCCCUCUGCUUGUUCCUUCACAAAAGCGCAGACCUGGUUUGCUGGUUAACAAUUAUACAUUUUAAACAGUUCUGUGCUCUGGCUGCAUCCUCAAAUGCCUCUGAAAAAUAAGCACAUUUUAAAAACACAAAAAAGAAUAAACAACAAGACAGUUCAGCAAGAGAAAGAAAAACAUAAGCCACUGCUUCAUUACAGAGCCAUGGGCAGGCCUCUCAAAGGCAGCAGCUUUUAUAAAUGAUUUCUUGGAAAAGCUUUUAUGUCUUCAAAGUGUUUCUGCUAAAAGAAGCUAAGUGUUUAUCUUGUGUCUCAGGAGAGGAUAUAGCAUAAAGUCCAGGUCACUAAAAAGAGGUAUUCUGAGCUCUUAUUUAUGUGUCAGGCCUGGGAAGCCAGCUUCAGAAGCUGGCUCAGUGAUAAAUCAUCCACAUGGUUGCUGCAUCUCUAAACACCGCAUCUUUCAUUACAUCAGGGAGUUAAUAAAUAUUAUCUAUUUUAUCAAUGAAGGGCAGUGCCUUUGACUCAGAUAAUUUUAUUGUAGAAAAAGACACAGUUUGUUGAUUUUUUAAAGGUUCACUUUAAAAUAUUUCUGAGAUACUGAGUCAUUUGUAGGGAAUAAACACUAAGCCACAAAACUCAAGGCCUAGACAGAUAUUACACAGCAAUCUUUUUGAACAAAUUGGCUUUCUUUGCCUUUUCUUUUUGGCCCGUUGUCUUGGGUCUCUAGGGAACUGUGCCUAUGAAUAAUGUCUGUCUGGAUGCAAUAAAGGGCCAGCUAAGUGGGAGAAAGGGUGGUGUGAGAAAAUAUGACAGCAGAGAUUAUCAUGAGUUCUGAUGAGAUGAAGUUUAGGUUUGGGAUUUUCCUGCUUGAAGAUGAGCCUGGCCCUUUUGGGCUCCAAACUCCUUAUUGAGGGCAUCUUGCUAUCUCCUGUAUCUAGCACAUAAUUAGCCUAGAAUAUAUCUGGUGCUCAAAAAUGAAUGGUUGGAUGAAUAAAUGAAUCAAUAGGGUAUAGCCACUUCUCACUUUUUAUCAAAGAAUCCCCUGGGAAUUCACCCAUAAAGCAUGCUAUUAUAAAGCUAAUUGCAUUUCCCCACAAAAACAAUGCCUUUAUUGGAGGUUUGUUCUAGACCAAGAGCUCAACAUCUAAUAAAUCAGAGCUAUGACAAAACUGUCUUAAGCACAACUUUGUAAUAGAUGAAAAUCUCUUUAGUUGUGUGCCCAAGCCCCAUGAAACUACACUGCUUAUCUUGAGUAUGCAAAGGGACCCAUCUGUGACUCUCUACAUGUUCAGCUAUUCUGCAUUACAAAUGUAAUUGAUACGUAAACCCUGAUAAAAAAUUAACACAUACAGAAUCAUAACAUUGUUGUCCUCUGAGUGGAUAGAAAGGUUUGAGAAGUGAAUUUGGAUGACAAGUAUUUAAAUUUUACACCCAGGCCGGGCAUUGGGGCUCACGCCUGUA